GACGAACCGUGCGAACGUUAUUCGGAAUCACUGGGCUUAAAGCGCGUGUAGGCGGGCCGGCACGUCGGUGCUGAAAGCCCCCGGCUCAACCGGGGAACUGGCGUCGAUACGACCGUCCUGGAGGGGCGUAGGGGGACCUGGAACUUCCGGUGGAGCGGUGAAAUGCGUUGAGAUCGGAAGGAACGCCCGUGGCGAAAGCGAGGUCCUGGACGCCUACUGACGCUGAGACGCGAAAGCC
rnacentral:rRNA from 1 species